rnacentral:rRNA from 1 species
AUUGAACGCUGGCGGCAGGCUUAACACAUGCAAGUCGAGCGGGGAAGUAUAGCUUGCUAUACGACCUAGCGGCGGACGGGUGAGUAAUGCUUAGGAAUCUGCCUAUUAGUGGGGGACAACAUUCCGAAAGGAAUGCUAAUACCGCAUACGCCCUACGGGGGAAAGCAGGGGAUCUUCGGACCUUGCGCUAAUAGAUGAGCCUAAGUCAGAUUAGCUAGUUGGUGGGGUAAAGGCCUACCAAGGCGACGAUCUGUAGCGGGUCUGAGAGGAUGAUCCGCCACACUGGGACUGAGACACGGCCCAGACUCCUACGGGAGGCAGCAGUGGGGAAUAUUGGACAAUGGGCGAAAGCCUGAUCCAGCCAUGCCGCGUGUGUGAAGAAGGCCUUUUGGUUGUAAAGCACUUUAAGCGAGGAGGAGGCUACUUGGAUUAAUACUCUAGGAUAGUGGACGUUACUCGCAGAAUAAGCACCGGCUAACUCUGUGCCAGCAGCCGCGGUAAUACAGAGGGUGCGAGCGUUAAUCGGAUUUACUGGGCGUAAAGCGUGCGUAGGCGGCUUUUUAAGUCGGAUGUGAAAUCCCUGAGCUUAACUUAGGAAUUGCAUUCGAUACUGGGAAGCUAGAGUAUGGGAGAGGAUGGUAGAAUUCCAGGUGUAGCGGUGAAAUGCGUAGAGAUCUGGAGGAAUACCGAUGGCGAAGGCAGCCAUCUGGCCUAAUACUGACGCUGAGGUACGAAAGCAUGGGGAGCAAACAGG